rfam:Triticum aestivum genome assembly, contig: Triticum_aestivum_CS42_TGACv1_scaffold_581525_7BL
GAUAUACUCCCUUCGUCCGGAAAUACUUGUCAUCAAAAUGGAUAAAAAAAGAUGAAUCUAGACGUAUUUUAGUUCUAGAUACAUCUUCUUUUAUCCAUUUUGAUGACAAGUAUUUCGGGACGGAGGAAUACAUC